GCCCAUGUGGCGGAAUGGUAGACGCGCAUGCUUCAGGUGCAUGUGUACAUUAGUACGUGAAGGUUCAAGUCCUUUCAUGGGCA
rnacentral:tRNA from 1 species